CGAAUCAGAGAAGGGGGUGCCAAGGCGGCCUUCACAUUCCUUCUGUAAGUGGACUGGCAGCCACAAUGCCCACUCAGAACCUUCCAGAGCCUUCCAGGAGCCCAGCAGCUUCCCAUCAUCGAUGGUGCCUUCCCCAAGUUUUCUUUGACAAAGAGAGGCUUCUAAUAAGCCUGCACUUGAGUCGGUUGGCUUUUCUAACAAGUGCUCACUCUCACCAAAAACCAGCAAGCCCGGCUCCUCAGUUAACUCCACCCCCAUUCCUCCCACGCUUACCUUGAAUGUGCGCAUGCGCUGAGCAAACCCUGUUCCUGGUGGGGUGCUCCAGUUCUACAACCAGUGAAGAGAGGCCUUUCAACUGACGUGCUUGGAGUCUGGAGCAGGAGACGACAGCAGCAGUGAUGACAAAGCACUUCACUGGAGGACUGUGAAAACAGGGAUCUGGGCUGGGGCGGGGUCCUGGGAAGACCUCCCAAAAGGGGUGAGGCUUGAGUCCCCCGUGAAGGAGGAUCACUUCGCUGAGAAGAGAAAGGAAAUCCUAGACAAAACCAGCUGGGUCCCCAAGGCAUGAACUGUAUGAAGGGGGGCCUUUAAUUGUCUUUAAAUUAAUAAAUUGUGGCUGCAAAAAUACAUAAGUAAAAUUUCUUAAGAAUUGAGGACUGAAUGAAGUGUCUGAGGGUAUGUGCUUGGUAACAAAGCUGAGUUUAGUGACUUUUAGUAUUUUUAUGUGUAAGUAUAAAAAAUAGUCAAAGUAGGUUUAGAAUUGGGAUGGACAAAACAAGACCAGUUCUGGGAGCCCUAAAAACUAUGAGUAUUUAUGGAUCACUUAUUCUGUGCCUAGGGGCUCUGCCAAGCUCCUGACAUGUGUGCGCCAGCUCAUUUGAUCCUCACGAAAGCCUUGAGAGCCACUCUUGUUAUCCUCAUUUUUCAAAUUAGAACAGAAGCCUGUGCAGGUUUGCAACCAGGUAGAUCUGACUCCACAGCCCCAGCUGAUGAGGCUCACACAAAGUUUCUUGGUAAGUUGUUGAGUGGAGCUGGAGUGGUUAUGGGGAGCAGAGGGGGAGGAGGCUGGCUCCCAGGAGGUCAUGGUCAAGAAAUAGA
rnacentral:lncRNA from 1 species